rnacentral:rRNA from 1 species
GGGGGGGGGGGGGGGGGGGGGGGGGGGGGGGGGGGGGGGGGCGGGGGGGGGGUGGGUGUGCCGACUGGGGGGGCGGCGAACGGGGGAGGAACGCGGGGGGAAUCUGCCUUGGAGCGGGGGACAACAUUGGGAAACGAAUGCUAAUACCGCAUAACAACUUUAAACACAAGUUUUAAGUUUGAAAGAUGCAAUUGCAUCACUCAAAGAUGAUCCCGCGUUGUAUUAGCUAGUUGGUGAGGUAAAGGCUCACCAAGGCGAUGAUACAUAGCCGACCUGAGAGGGUGAUCGGCCACAAUGGGACUGAGACACGGCCCAAACUCCUACGGGAGGCAGCAGUAGGGAAUCUUCGGCAAUGGACGAAAGUCUGACCGAGCAACGCCGCGUGAGUGAAGAAGGGUUUCGGAUCGUAAAACUCUGUUGGUAGAGAAGAACGUUGGUGAGAGUGGAAAGCUCAUCAAGUGACGGUAACUACCCAGAAAGGGACGGCUAACUACGUG